rnacentral:rRNA from 1 species
UGGGGAAUUUUGGACAAUGGGCGAAAGCCUGAUCCAGCAAUGCCGCGUGUGUGAAGAAGGCCUUCGGGUUGUAAAGCACUUUUGUCCGGAAAGAAAUCCUUGGCUCUAAUACAGUCGGGGGAUGACGGUACCGGAAGAAUAAGCACCGGCUAACUACGUGCCAGCAGCCGCGGUAAUACGUAGGGUGCAAGCGUUAAUCGGAAUUACUGGGCGUAAAGCGUGCGCAGGCGGUUUGCUAAGACCGAUGUGAAAUCCCCGGGCUCAACCUGGGAACUGCAUUGGUGACUGGCAGGCUAGAGUAUGGCAGAGGGGGGUAGAAUUCCACGUGUAGCAGUGAAAUGCGUAGAGAUGUGGAGGAAUACCGAUGGCGAAGGCAGCCCCCUGGGCCAAUACUGACGCUCAUGCACGAAAGCGUGGGGGAGCAAACAGGAUUAGAUACCCUGGUAGUCCACGCCCUAAACGAUGUCAACUAGUUGUUGGGGAUUCAUUCCUUAGUAACGUAGCUAACGCGUGAAGUUGACCGCCUGGGGAGUACGGUCGCAAGAUUAAAACUCAAAUGAAUUGACGGGGUCAUAGCUGUUUCCU